UGUGCUUUAAGGAAAUCCCUAUAGUGUAUUUCUAUAACUAAAGUUUGUCUUAGAGGUUUUCAUUUAAUUUUCAGAUUUUCAUUAAACUCAAAUGAAACAAAAGAAUGGGUGGCACUAGUAUCAAUCAAAGCACAAGAAGUAGAAUUAUGAACAGAAAAAUGUACCCUGGAUGAUAGCCGGUGUCGCCACAGCACCAGGCUUGUCAAGAUG
rnacentral:lncRNA from 1 species